GUAUUCAGGUUUGCAACUGUGUAAGAAACUCUAGGCCAUUGUGGAUUCAAUAUCUGCAGCAGUAUUUGUAAACAACCUGAAAGACAAGUAAAUUCAAAUCUUUGCCUGCAUCUUUUCCUGAAAGGGAAUUUGAAUCCUAAGUACUGGGAGGCUGCCUUAAAAAUGCAAUCACAUGUAAAUACAGUGAAAGGAAAUGGAAAUGACUUACAGGCUAAAAGCAAGCUGCUGGCUUCCAGGAGCCUCAUGGUUGCUAGUUCCAAGUAUCACUGAAAUAAAAAUGCUAGAAGAGACUCUGAACCUGAAGCUGUGCACACAGCAACUCUCCCCUCUCCAGAAGAGUGUAAAAUGGUCUUGCUAUUAUUGGUGUAAACGUGUAAAACUGCAACCCCAGAAUGCCUCACCUGUUAAUACCUUUGAGCAAAAAUGUCAGAGAAACAUGAAGGAACUACUGAGAGUCCUACUCACUGAAAUCGGUUUGAAUAUCUCACCUAUGGCUUUCAAUAAGAAUGAGCAAAUCAGAGAAUGUUCAGCUGUUGGAUUUUCCCCUGGAUAUCAAGCCUGGGGAGGGAGAAAACACACAGCCCUGAUUACAAAGAGCAAGAACCACAAUGAAUAUUUUCUUUACUCCUGCUAAGGUAAAACCAGAAG
rnacentral:lncRNA from 1 species